ensembl:snoRNA
GCGUGAUACUAAGAUUUAUUUUAGUCAUAGUAACCCAUGCCAGAGCAAACUGUGUCCCCAAACCAUUGCCUGGCCUCUGUGCCCGUAAGCUGCUGGCACUGAAGUGGCUUGCACAGUG